GCUUAGCGGAGUGCCCCUCUUACGUCACAACGCGUAACUCUUGAAGUCUUGAGGGGAAGUGCCGCUCCAGCAGCGAGCGUAAGUGCACGCCUGCGCGACAGCUCUAGGCGAUGGGUACGUGGACAGCCUAUGAGGAGACCGGGAAACUAGAGUAGGGAGUUUAGAGAGCAAAAGGGAAGGCUCGUACCCUUUCCUCCCCUCUCUGCUGGCCAAUAAGGAGCUGAAGCGACUGGUGGGGAGCUUGAGGGCGGGAGCGCGAAGGCGUGCCAAGUGUUACGUCACUGGAAAGAGGUGGAGCAACAAGCCGUGUGAUUGAUGGCUGAAGUCGCCCCGAGGAGGAAGGCGAGGAAAUGAGCUUGUCCAAUGGGAGAGAGAUGCUGGACUCUUGGGCGGGCUUUGGAGCCUCUCUGGCCCUAAGCCGCGCACUUGGAAGUUACCGGAUAAAUUUACAGCUCUCUGAAGGUUCUGGCAGCGCAGUUCCUGAGAGCUGUUUUAGCGCGAGUUCGGACUGUCUGCCGGAGACCUUGAACUGCUUCUACAGGACGAGUAUGAAUUCGCUGAUCAGAAGUUUGUAGAUUUGAGGACUGGCCGUUUACUCUUACUAGGAUAUCUUACAGGUUCCAUCCAGAUUUUAAACUUCUUAAAGACCGGAAAUGCUGGUCAUCUUAGUUUUUUGUCCGGUGCUUUCUGUAUAAUGAUGCCUAAUAAAAACAAGUGAACUGCA